GCAAAACCAAAUAGAAAAGGAAGUUGAACAAAGAGGUGUGGCUCAGCCUGAUUUUACAGGUAUACCUGUAGUUUGAAUGGCUCUUCACGAUUGUUAUGUCUCCAUACAAAGGGUCUGGCUUUUAUAUUCCCACAUUAGUCAUGGGCCUCAGUCCUCACUACCCCCAGGAUGUGCACAUUAGGACACCAGGAAAAUCACUUAUAUGGGGCUGGAGUUCAAGGUUGGACCUCAUGCUCUAAAACAUGAAUGAAUGGCUACGGAAAGGUGGCCCAGACCCGGUGGAGUCACUGUGACACUGGGCCACUGCUCCCAUCCUGUUACAGAUACACACUAAGGAGGACCUCUUCCAACCAGGGAAAUGACCAGGGAAGGAACCCUUCUCCAGGGGACAUAUGUAUUGUUUGUGCAGCCUAUUAUGAGCUCCCCAGUGACUUUGGAAUGGAUACAGGACCCAAACGAACAAUGGGGAGCUGAAAAGGUUGACAUGCUCCAACAGCAUUGUGGACUGGGCCCACACCUAUGCUGAGGUGACCAAUGUUUCCAACUGUUGGAUCUACACUGCCCUUCUAGCAGCAGCUCUGGACAGCUUGCCCUUGCACAUACAUCCAGCUUCUGCGGAAAACUGGACAUGGUUAGAGACUUAGGGUACUAUGGCCAACGUUUGGAACAUGACACAGCAAGCUUCGGAUAGGAGGUGCUGCAAAACCCAUGGCAUGCCUGCCUCCCGGCUGACCUAUAGCAUCUAUGAUGGAUGGGGCUGGUUAGUUGGAGAACACUUGGUGCCCCCACUACAGGUACCAUGAUGGAUGGAGCAACAUUGGGGUAAUGUCACGCAUAGCCUGCACUAAUAUAACAUAUGUCACCACACCAAAGGCGUGGUGGAAUAGGUGGCCUCAUCAAGGCUGGGCCCUAAUGGACUUUGUGCCCCCUGGAGUUUAUAGGUGUGUGGAGACAUGGGAUCAUCAUACUUACCAGUGAACUGGACUGACUGCUGUACUGGGGGGCGGCCUUAUGUGCCUGUCACUGUUAUUCCAACAUUGCCUAGACACCCACAUAACUGGGAGGUGCUACAGUCCCUGUUUUUGCGAGUGCGACGAGCUCCCGGUGGCUCUACACCUUAGCAUUAAUCAUCCCUGGAGCAGGUGUCAGAACUGUAGAAAUGCAAGUUACGGCCCUUGCGGAGCACACUACUGGAGUCUUGAAUUACACCCUAGUUGCCCUCCUUCUGUAGACAGAUGAGGCUGAUCAAACCAGUAGGUGGUACUGCAGAACCAGAUGGCCCUAGACAUAUUAACUGCUGCCCAAGGUGGCACCUGUGCUCUUUUGGGAAUGCAAUGUUUUACCUUCAUCCAUGACAAUCAACAAAACAUAACAGUAGCUUUGCAAGGAGUUUCCCAGAAAAUCAAGGCAGUUGAGAGCCUUACUGAUGACCCCUUACAGACAUGGUAGGCAUCUCUGGGCUCUGGCUUAUAUUGCACCCUAAUAAUUAUGGGCAGCAUAGUGGGAAUAUUACUAGUGAGCUGUUGCUCCCUGUAUUGCUGCUGUGGCCUCUGGGUCCAAGGUUCUGCCCUGUGGGCAAGUCUCCCCACUAGGAGAACUCCCUUGGCCUAGGGAGUGGAGUGUAAGGAAAAUGGGUGUGCUUCAGUCAGGAGUAGGUGGAGGCAGACAUCGGUACACCAUGACACAGCGCUGGUGCAACACCCUGUGCAUUACGUAAUCACAUUUAUGUAGCCAUUUUGAUGUAACCUGUUUUUGUGAGCUCAUACCUGGCUUUGAGCCACUGUUGUCUGUGAAAAAUAUAACCGCAUUGCUGACUCUGUAGGAGACCAUUUCCCACCUGCCUAUGGUCCCCUGAGUGUUCUUUCAGCUACCCGCCACCCGUCCACCGACUCCCCUCGGACCCCAGCUUGGGUUGCAACCUGACAGCAAGGUUGAUAGACUGCUAGCUAGUGUAACAAAGACAAAAGAGAAGAUCCACAUAAGUACAAUCAGAAAUGACAAAAUGACAUUACAUCUGAUCCCACAGAGUUUCAUAAGAUCCUCAGAGACUAUUAUGAACAAGUCUAUGCACACAAAUUAGAAUAUCUAGAGGAAAUGAAUAAAUUCCUGGAAGCACACACUCUCCCAAGAUUGAAUCAAGAAGAGAUUGAAACCAUGAGUAGACCAAUAUAGGGCUCUGACAAUUGAAUCGGCAAUAAAUUCUUAAAAGUCAACAAUAAGUAAAUUAAAAACCUGAUUUAAAAAUGGGUGAAGGACCUUAACAGACACAUCACAAAUGAAAAUACAUAAAUGACAGAUAAGCAUAUGAAAAGUUGUUCCACUUUAUAUGUCAUUAGAGAAAUGUAAAUUUAAAUGACAGCGAGAUACAGCCACAUACCUCUUAGAAUGGCCAAUAUCCAGAACACUGACAGCACCAAACGCUGGUGAGGAGGUGAAGCAACAAUAACUCUCAUUCAUUGCUGACACAAAGGCAAAAUGGUAGACACUUUGGAAUUCAAUAUGACAGUUUCUUAUGAGACAAAACUACUCUUGCCAUGUGAUCUAGCAAUCACACAUCUCGGUAUUUACCCAAAUAAGUUGAAAACUUACAUCCACACAAAAACCUACACAAAGUUGUUUACAACAGCUUUAUUCAUGAUUGUCAAAACUUCAAAGCAACCAAGAUAUCCUUUACUAGAUGAUGAGAAAAAUAAACUGGUACCACCUGACAAUGGAAUAUAAUUGAACAAUAAAAAGAAAUGAGCUACCGAGCCAUGAAAAGAUAUGGCGGUAACUUAAACGCACAUAACUAAGCGAAAGAAGCCAAUCUGAAAGGGCACAGGCUAUGUAAUUCCAACUAUCUGACACUCUAUGGCAAAACUAUGGAGACAGUAAAAAGGUCAGUGGUUGUCAGGGGUUAGAGGUGGGGGGAAGGAUAAAUAGGUGGAAUACAAAGGAUUUUUAAGGCAGUUUUAAACUAUUCUGUACGAUAUUACAAUGGCGGUUACGUCAUUAUACUUUUCUUCUGAACCCGUAGAAUAUAUAAUAUGGACAGUGAACCCUAUUGUUAACUAUGGACUUUGAGUGAUAAUGAUGUGUCAGUGUAGGUCCACCAAUUCUAACAACUGGACCACUCAGGUGGGGGAUAUUGAUAAUGGAGUCUAUGCCUGUGUAAGAGCAGGUAGUAUAUAGGAAAUCUCUGUAUUUUCUGUUCAGUUUUGCUGUGAACAUAAAACUGCUGUAAAAAGGUCUCUUAAAAAUAAGGUACAAACCAUAUCAGUUUUGUGAUUUACAGAGAUUUGUUAUCUGAAACUAAUUCACAACAUAUUUAUCUGUUACAUCAUUUAGUGAGUCAACUUUUCGGAUAAGAAUCUUAGCUAAAACAUGCGGUGUUUGGUUUUUUGUCCUUGCGAUAGUUUGCUGACACAGGAAGGGGAACAUCACACACCGGGGCCUGUUGUAGGGUCGGAGGAGGUGGGGAGGGAUAGCAUUAGGAGAUAUACCUAAUGUUAAAUGACGAGUUAAUGGGUGCAGCACACCAACAUGGCACAUGUAUAUAUAUGUAACAAACCUGCACGUUGUGCACAUGUACCCUAAAACUUAAAGUAUAAUAAUAACCCCCCCACAAAAAAAAAUCUUAGCUAAAACUGAGAGGAAAAACAUUUUGUCACUUAAUCCAUAGGAAUAACAGAAAUACAAGGAAUUAAUUGUUUAUAUCAUCACAAUAAAUUCUUAACAAGAAAAUGUAGUAUUAAAAAAAUAACCAAAUUAGAAUGAAUGGCACUUUUAAAAUAAUGUAAUAUAGCUAGAAAAAAAUAGUGUAUUUUUUUAACAAUUCCAAUGAUACUAAGUAAUAAAUUCUAGCCCAGAUUUUUUUUAUAGCAAGUUAAUUUAGGACCUAGUUACAUAUUUCUCUUCCUCCUGGUUGGGGUAAAAAUUUAAGCUUAAUGCUGCCCAAUCAAUAUUUCAAAAAGCUUGUCUUGAUCAUCUUCUUUUAAUUACAUAAUAAAGUGCUUCUAAAAUUACUCUUUCAGUGGAAGCAAUUGGUUUAUAUAUUUAAAUGUCUGUCAUGGCAUAUAAAGGAUCAGGUGCACUCUUCAAAAAGAAAAAAUAUCUUUCCUCGUAUUCUGUUAUAUUGUCCUUUUACUUUUUAAAAAAUUGUCAUAUUAUUUGCUGCCUUUGAACUUAUCAAAAAUAAGUAACAUAUCUUUAGAAAAUAAGUAACUCCUAUAAUUUUAAAGGGCAUUGCAGGAGUGAGAAUAAAGCUUUACACAUUUUUAACUCUUCUCUAACAUUUGGCAAUCAAUGCGAGCUGUAUUAGUCCAGCUUGUAAGGUGGAAGCUGUAACUGUAACUUCCAGGCUAGUCACAUAGUUCCCCUGAGGUCAAUAACCUUUUAACACAUCUACAGGUUGGUGGUGUAAAAUAACAGCUCUUUGAUUUUUAACAAAAUAUGGAAUGAUUCAUUCAAUAAUACACUGAAAUUUUAUUGAGUCUAUGUGUAUGAUGGAAUUUUUGGGGAUCUUACAAUUUAACAGUAAAUAAAAAGUUUUAAAAAAGAAUCCUUCAAUUGAGAUAUAGAGAGGGAAGAUGAACGGUAAAGAAUAAAGAAUUAAUAGGUGAAAAUAAGGCUUACUAGAGGACAAUAAGUGCUAUGCAAAUUUUUUAAAAAGAGGUAGACGGUUGGUGGGUAGGUGUCAAUGCUAAAUAGGGUGGCUGGAAGAGGCCCCAGAGAGAAGAAGUAACGAGCAGAUACCAUCAUGGGAAAUGACCUUUCUGGUAGGGAGCCAUAUGCUGGAAGAACAAAGACGUUCUUCUAAUGUGAAGAGAAAAAUAUAGUGGAAAUCACUGAAUAUGUGUCUCCAUGUUCUUUGGUCCAACAGGGUUAUAGAAGCAGUGCUCAGUAGCCAAUUAGGAGAAUAAAAGGGCAAGGAAUUGCAGAGAGAAAUAAUAUGAUGAGAGAAAUUUUGCCUUGAGGUUUUCAGGUCCCUGGUAUAAGCAACACACAGACAAAUAUUGGGCCCACUUAGCGUAAUUAGACUAAUUAAAAGCAAUUAACCCAUCCUCCACCUACAAAAUGAAGAAGUUUAGAGCUGCAGCUCAGCUUAGAUAUGUAUGCUUCUGGUUGAAAAAACCCUUCAGCUAAUUUGUCCUGCUGCUGUGUUAAUUGAAACUCAGUUGAUUGAAAAAAAAAAAAAAAAAAACUUGGAAAAGAAAAGCCCUUCAUCUAAAAAGAGAGUCAUUUAUUCUGACAAUUACAAUUAUUGAAAUGUUCUUUUCUAUACCUAUAUGACAGGAAUAUUAUGCUGCUAAGCAUAUACGCAUCCACAGACACAUAGGCCCACCAAAAUACACAGAAUUUCUCUUAAAAGAUUAGAGUGGUAUUUUUAAUAGAAAAAGAAGACCCAUAGGAUGUAAGCUUUGAAGUAAAUUAAGAUUUGCCUUUACCAUAUUGGAAAAUAAAGUUGUGAUUGGAAGACUUGAUUUUAGUGGGUUAAGAAAAGAAGUAUUUUAUUCAGAAUAUUUUACAUAUAAAGAUUUGUGCCCAUAUACACACAAACAUUCACAGAACAUAUAUACAGUAUCAUUAUCAGAGGCUGAGCUCUGAAAUAUUUUUAUUUUCUGUGUGAUAAUGUAUGAAGGAAUGAGUUACCAUCAUUCUAAUUUUAUUAAGUAAGCUUUAUCAAUUUCUAUACACAAAAAUACACACAUAUGCAGACACAUAGGGUUCAAAUAUAAUCUGUAUUUCUAUAAAUUUUGCUUUAUAAAAUGCCCCUUUUAAAUCUUGCUCUAUUGUGAAGUUGACAGGGAGUCUUUAAAAUGAUUAUAAUUAAUUCUAGUGUUAUAUGCUUAACUGAUAGAUAUGUUAAGUAUCAUAGAGGAAUAACAUCCACCAUAUAGCUGCAAAAAGAAUUUUAGAAGUUUGGCCAGUUUACAAAAGAAAAGGAUUCUAAGAAAAGCAGGCUAAUGAAUAGAAUAAACUUAGUCCAAAAUAUCAUACAUUAACAAUAAAAUUUUAAGCAAGUAUUAAUUUUUUCAAAGAAAUCAAUAUGACAUAUUUAGGAGUUCAUUACAGAGGAGGGUGAAUAAUAAACCUGGAAAGAAAAAGCAUGAAUAUAUCUUUAUAAAAUCAAAAGAAUAUUUGCUACUACUCUGUUUACCAUUGUGCUAAAUGUAGCAUGUAGCAUCUUGUCUUAUCUUUAUCUCUUUAAUAUCAGUAUUUAAGCUAAGCAAACAGAUUGCAUUUUAGAAUAAAUAAUAAAAUUAUCUCUGUAUGUGUGUUGGUUUUUUUCUUUUUGUUCUUUGCUUAUGGCCAGUCUUUUUAAAAAUCCAUUUCCUAUAGUAUAAACAGAAGGAUGUAUUUAAAUCAUGGAUUAUUCUUACUAUUUAAAAAUACUGCUAUUUUAUUGUGAAAAGAGCAGUACUAGGAUUGAGAAAUGAUAAAACUAUGAAAAUUAUCGUGUUAAUGUAAAAUCCAGUUGGUUUCACUAAAAUGAAAUAAAACCCAAAACCUGUUUUAUUGAUUCACACAAAACUUUAUAAAUUAUUACCUACCCUUAGAGAUUUUGGAACAUUAUAAAACAGACUUAGUUUCCCCCUAUGAAUGUGAAAGAAAAUGGAAAAAUAAUCAUCUCAUGAGAAAAUGGCUUUGAAACAAGAGUAACUUCUAUAAGAAAACAGCUGUUUCAAGCACAAUUAUUUACAGAUUUUUUUCUUGGACAAAUAAUUUCUUAAAACAUCAUUAUAUCAGAGAUUACAAUGUUCAAUUAAGCCUGGAAAGAAAGCACUGUAUGAGGAGAUAUAAAUGUCCAGAUUGCAUCUUACCCUCUGCCCGGAAAAGCUAAUGUACUGAGAACAGCAGGUUUUUGCAAUAGAGAAAGAAUGUAAUAAAUAUACAGCCAACUAAGUGAGAGGACAGGAGUUUAUUUUUACUCAAAUUAGCCUCCUUGAGAAUUUUGAGGCUAGAGAUUUUUAAGAAUAAUUUGGCAGAUGGGGGUUGGGAUUAGAGAAUCCUUAUUUGUCGGGUUGGGAUGAAAUCAUAGGGAGUAAUAACUUGUCUUCUUGCACUGAAUCAGUUCCUGAAUGGGGCCAGCAAGACCAGAUGAGCCUGUUUACCAGUCUCAGUGGUGCCAGCUGGUCCACCAGAAUGCAGGGUCUGAAAAAUACCUCAAACCCUAAUCUCAGGUUUACAAUAGUGAUGUUAUCUAUAGGAGCAAUUAGGGAGUUUAGGAACUGUGCGGCCUCUGGCUGCAUGACUCCUGAGCCAUAAUUUAUAUUCUUGUGGAUAAUUUAUUAGUUUUAUACAUGCAGUUUGAUCACCAAGCACCGAGGGAGUUUGUUGCAAGAAUAGGCUGUUACCUUCUUUCUUUCAAAGUUAAACUAUGAACUAAAUUCCUUCCAAAGCUAGCUUGACCUAUGCCCAGGCAUGAACAAGGGCAGCUUGGAGGCAAGAAGCAAGAUAGAGCCAGUUAUGUCAGAUUUCUUUCACUGUCAUAAAUUUCCCUUGUCAGAUUUAUCUCACUGUCAUAAUUUUGCAAAAACAGUAUCAGGGAUAUCUUUCCAUAAACAACAUAUAGUUUUAUGAUUAAUAGAACCCAAUUAUACUGAAGGCAAAAUAAUAGAUUAUUGUAAACUUCAUUAUUAAUAAAAGAGUCAAUUAUUGAACAUAUAAUAUAAUGGAAAAUUUAGAAACAUCCUAUUUGUG
rnacentral:lncRNA from 1 species